GUGCCAGCAGCCGCGGUAAUACCGGCAGCCCGAGUGAUGGCCGAUCUUAUUGGGCCUAAAGCGUCCGUAGCUGGCUACGCAAGUCCGUCGGGAAAUCCACUCGCCCAACGAGUGGGCGUCCGACGGAAACUGCAUAGCUUGGGACCGGAAGGCUCGAAGGGUACGUUCGGGGUAGGAGUGAAAUCCCAUAAUCCCGUCCGGACCACCGAUGGCGAAAGCACUUCGAGAAAACGGAUCCGACAGUGAGGGACGAAAGCUAAGAUCGCGAACCGGAUUAGAUACCCGUGUACC
rnacentral:rRNA from 1 species